CUACGGGUCGCUGCAGUGAGGAAUAUUGCACAAUGGGGGAAACCCUGAUGCAGCAACGCCGCGUGGAGGAUGACGCAUUUCGGUGUGUAAACUCCUUUUAUCAGAGAAGAAAAUGACGGUAUCUGAUGAAUAAGCUCCGGCUAACUCCGUGCCAGCAGCCGCGGUAAUACGGAGGGAGCAAGCGUUAUUCGGAAUCACUGGGCGUAAGGGACGCGUAGGCGGGUUUUUAAGUCAGGUGUGAAAUCCUAUGGCUCAACCAUAGAACUGCACUUGAAACUGGGGACCUAGAGUAUGGAAGGGGCAGGUGGAAUUAGUGGUGUAGGGGUAAAAUCCGUAGAUAUCACUAGGAAUACCGAAAGCGAAGGCGACCUGCUGGGACAUUACUGACGCUGAGGCGUGAAAGCGUGGGGAGCAAACAGGAUUAGAUACCCCAGUAGUC
rnacentral:rRNA from 1 species